rnacentral:piRNA from 1 species
UCUUUACUUUGGUCUGAUCAGCUUGGCU